GAAACCCUGCGUUUACAAACUGUGGGACCACGUUAAGGUGGGACCGCGUACUUUUUGUAGAACGGUCCGGCGAGCUUUCUUAUGUGGCAAGGUUAAGUACUUAAGGUACGGAGCCGAGCGAGAGCGAGUCUGAAGAGGGCGAAUGAGUCACAUGAGGAAGGCCCGAAACCGGGUGAUCUAUCCAUGGCCAGGUUGAAGUCACCGUAAAAGGUGAUGGAGGACCGAACACACAUCCGUUGAAAAGGGUGGUGAUGAGCUGUGGAUAGGGGAGAAAUUCCAAUCGAACCCGGAGAUAGCUGGUUCUCCCCGAAAUAGCUUUAGGG
rnacentral:rRNA from 1 species